rnacentral:lncRNA from 1 species
UGAAUGUUAAGGGUAAGUACUAUUCUUAGAUGCUUUCAAUUUUGUAAACAUAAAGGCUGUUUUUUAGGCGUUCACUUUGGUUUUAUCAUACACUCAUGUUUUUACUAUAUUAACAAAUUUAGUCAGUACUGGAAAAGUUGAAGACAUGGCCAAAGCAUAAAAUGUUGCAGGCAUUCUGAUCGCACAUAUUUUUCUGGGUUUUUUAUUUCUACAAAACCUUAUUCAAAUAACGAGUAGACAAAAGACGGGUGACGACUCUCUAUAAACAAUAACUCGUCACUCACCAAACGGCAGAACCAAAAACUGCACGAAGGCGCUUUUGAAAUUUGCGCGUCUUUCCUAAAAACAAUGCGAUGAUUGCGAUCUUCAACUACUGUUUGAACGUAACAAUUAUUUCGAAUUGGUUAAUUAUUUCGAAGGAUGACAGUUAUCAUAAUUAUAUGUAUUGUUAACUGUUUACAAACACGGAGAUAUUUUUAGCGGAAUCACUUACAAAUAUUUUAAUAAUUUCAUUAUCUGUUCGGGACGGGGAAGAAAUGGGGGCUGAAAACAUGAGACACGCGUAAUCCUAAAGGCCGACACAUAUUAAAAUCUCACUUUCGUCUCGCGCUUUUAUUCUAACUUCUUGAAACUUAUAUAUUUUAUUAUUUCCUGCCUAGGCAUUAAUCUAAACUAAUUAAAUAUUAUCCUGAUCACUUGAAGCAAACAAAAUAUUGUGAUUUUUUAAAAACGUCUUGCAGACAGCGGAUUAAAUAUUCGUGUUAGUAUGCCGGCGGUAAAUUUUUUUUCUCAAAAGUGCAACGGUAUCAAGUAUCCAAUCUAUUGCAGCUACUGAGUAUUAUGACUCAUCUACUAGAAUAAAAAAUAAAAUCUUUGAGCAGUGUGUUUCUCGCCUGACAAGCGCGUCAUGAAUAUAGUCAACUUUCGCUAAUUCGACUAAUUAUAAACUAUAAUUUGUUAAUGUAUUUACUGAAUUUUUCCCGUUAAAAAAAUAC